AGUGAGCGCUGGCGGUAGGCCUAACACAUGCAAGUCGAACGGCAGCACAGUAAGAGCUUGCUCUUACGGGUGGCGAGUGGCGGACGGGUGAGGAAUACAUCGGAAUCUACUUUUUCGUGGGGGAUAACGUAGGGAAACUUACGCUAAUACCGCAUACGACCUACGGGUGAAAGCAGGGGAUCUUCGGACCUUGCGCGAUUAAAUGAGCCGAUGUCGGAUUAGCUAGUUGGCGGGGUAAAGGCCCACCAAGGCGACGAUCCGUAGCUGGUCUGAGAGGAUGAUCAGCCACACUGGAACUGAGACACGGUCCAGACUCCUACGGGAGGCAGCAGUGGGGAAUAUUGGACAAUGGGCGCAAGCCUGAUCUAGCCAUACCGCGUGGGUGAAGAAGGCCUUCGGGUUGUAAAGCCCUUUUGUUGGGAAAGAAAAGCAGCAGGUUAAUACCCCGCUGUUCUGACGGUACCCAAAGAAUAAGCACCGGCUAACUUCGUG
rnacentral:rRNA from 1 species